rnacentral:rRNA from 1 species
CCUACGGGGGGCUGCAGUAGGGAAUCUUUCACAAUGGGCGAAAGCCUGAUGGAGCAACGCCGCGUGCAGGAUGAAGGCCUUCGGGUUGUAAACUGCUUUUAUAAGCGAGAAAUAUGAUGGUAACUUAUGAAUAAGGAUCGGCUAACUACGUUCCAGCAGCCGCGGUCAUACGUAGGAUCCGAGCAUUAUCCGGAGUGACUGGGUGUAAAGAGUUGCUUAGGUGGCAUAAUAAGUAGCUAGUGAAAUCUGGUGGCUCAACCAUUCAGACUAUUAGCUAAACUGUUAAGCUCGAGACCGUUAGGGGUAACUGGAAUUUCUAGUGUAGGAGUGAAAUCCGUAGAUAUUAGAAGGAACACCAAUAGCGUAGGCAGGUUGCUGGGACGGUUCUGACACUAAGGCACGAAAGCGUAGGGAGCAAACGGGAUUAGAUAACCCUGUAGUC